UGUGAAUCAGUUGUGUUCUCUUUAGCCUACUG
rnacentral:piRNA from 1 species